AUUGAUCGCUGGCGGCAUGCUUUACACAUGCAAGUCGAACGGUAACAGGCCGCAAGGUGCUGACGAGUGGCGAACGGGUGAGUAAUGCAUCGGAACGUGCCCAGUCGUGGGGGAUAACUACUCGAAAGAGUAGCUAAUACCGCAUACGAUCUAUGGAUGAAAGCGGGGGACCGUAAGGCCUCGCGCGAUUGGAGCGGCCGAUGUCAGAUUAGGUAGUUGGUGGGGUAAAGGCUCACCAAGCCAACGAUCUGUAGCUGGUCUGAGAGGACGACCAGCCACACUGGGACUGAGACACGGCCCAGACUCCUACGGGAGGCAGCAGUGGGGAAUUUUGGACAAUGGGCGCAAGCCUGAUCCAGCAAUGCCGCGUGCAGGAAGAAGGCCUUCGGGUUGUAAACUGCUUUUGUACGGAACGAAACGGCUCUGGUUAAUACCCGGGGCUAAUGACGGUACCGUAAGAAUAAGCACCGGCUAACUACGUG
rnacentral:rRNA from 1 species